UCUUGGUCUGCUUCACAGCUCCAUGGGAACAUGCCACUAUAAGUGUUUGAAAAGAAUACACUUCUGAGACAUUUGCAUUUUCAGAAAGCUUUCUGUAGAGGGCCAAGCCUUGGAGCUUGUGAAUGAGGCCUUUCUGUGUGUGUGGCUCCUUGCUAAUAGUACAGGGGAAAGGAGAGAAAGGAGGCACUUUUCAUUCCCCCAGCAGCUGCAGGCCGAGGAUGCCUAGAGCCUGGAGGGUUCAGUUUGUGUGUUUUGAAUCUCUUCUCCCCUGGAGGUUUCCAGGGAGCUGCUUUGCAUGAGAUAAACACUUGGCCUGAUUCCCAAUUCCACAGGCCUCUCUUCCAGACUUUGCCGCCUCCUGUCGCCUCUAGGAUACGGCCUUGUGGGUCUAUCCUGCAAGGGGGGACACUGGCCAUGACAGAAGGAUGGAGCCUGGCUGUUUGGUGUUCAUAUGGGGCUCAGCCCCACACUCAGCGCUCACGCAAACAUGGUGAACGUUCCCAAAACCUGCUGGACUUUCUGUAAGAAGAGUGGCAAGCACCAACCCCACAAAGCGACAGAGUACAAGGAGGGCAAGGAUUCUCUGUGUGCCCAGGGAGAGCGGCGUUAUGACAGGAAGCAGAAUGGCUGUGGUGGGUACACUAAGCUGAUUUUCCAGAAAAAGGCUAGAACUACAAAGAAGAUUUGCUAAUGUUUAAGUGCGUGGAGCCCAACUGCAGAUCUAAGAGAAUGCUGGCUGUUUCUUUUCUUUUAUGAAGACAAUAAAAUGUUGAGUUUAUGUUCAAAAAAAAAAAAAAAAGAAA